rnacentral:lncRNA from 1 species
CCUAAAAUGCCAAAGAAGUCCACUUUGAAAUCUGCACAGAAAGCUCCUCUUUCUUCUUCUCCUUGUUGCGGCAGAGUUGGUUUAGAGGGCUGUUUGGAUGGUUUUCUGAUGUAGGAAGGGAAUUAGGAUGGUAUGGGGGUGCGGCAAGGUGUGUGGGUGGUGUAUGGAGGUGUAUAAUGGUGGCUGGAAUGAAAGGAGAGUUGCGGCAAGGUGUAUGGAUGUGGCUGGAAUGAAUGGUGGCUGCGGCAAGGUGGGGGAAGGGAUUUUUUGCGAUUUCUGAUUUUUAGAAUGGGGUCUCUCUGCGGCUAGGGUGUAGAAAAUAUAUAUAUAGGCACUUAAAAACCCUAGCAAUUCAGAUUAGAACAAUGGGCUAGGGUUAAGGUUUGUAAAAUAGGGCUUUUUGGAUGGAAAGGUGCGGCAUAGGCUUAGGGAUUUCCAAUCAGAUUUUUGCAUGUGAACAAGGCCUAGGUGCGGCUGAAACAAUGGGCUAGGGUUAGGGUUUAGGUACGGCAUAGGUCCAAGAGUUAAGGAUGGGUCAUCCAAAAGCCCAAAACCGAGAAUAGAAACUCACGAAAAUGGAAACCUCCAAGAAUAGAAACUUCCAACUUUAGAAACUUUGGUUGCCAAUUCCGAUUUAGGAAAGAUCAACCCAAAAUGGAAACUUUUAGGCUUAGCUUUCCUACUUCAAGUAGGAAACCUCAAAUCUUCAACUCUUCAAUUUCAUCCCAACCUUGCGUUCCAAGCAUGUCCUUUUCACUUCAAGCUCACUUUCUGCUCCAAAAGCUCCAAAUUGCAUCAUUUCAUGUAAUACGUCCGCUAAACCUGAAAACACAAGAAAGUAGCUUAAAAGACUACUUUAACGAAGAAAACAUAACAAAGAUGCAUAAGAACUAGCUAACUAAGGCGCAUAAAUAUGCUCCUAUCAAAUUCCCCCACACUUAGCUUUUGCUAGUCCUCGAGCAAAACAAACAAAAGAAAGGAAACAGAACGAAACCAACUAACCAAAACAAAACCUAAACCUUCCAACGUUUGCCUCAGGGAUUUCCAAUGCACACGACAUGUUAAAGAUUGUUAUCCCCACAAAUUUGAGUCAUCUUUACACAAGCACAUACUUAAUUAAAGCCACCACUUACUAAUUCACAAGUAAUCAAUCAAAACAAUGCUUUGAAUGUAGUAACAUGCCUUAGAGAAUUCCCUCAAUUCCUUACAAGAUAUACACUCUAUUUUCACUCAGAUUUUCUAACUCCACACCCUACACUAGUCAUAUGUGAGAAGAUUGAUGUAGAAAUGAAAACGAAUGCUCACAUAUAUGUAUCACAAAGAACGCAAUUUCUAGAGUUAAGAAGCAUGUUUAGAUAUGAUCUCAUGAAUAGAAUGCUACUACUUAGAUGCGAGAACCAGUGACACCAUAUGCUCAUAACAAAUUCAAACUCCACAAAUUGAAACACAUAACAUUCAAGAUAGAAGUUAAGGGUUGUAAUGGGGCUUGGGGUGUUGGUUAACAAGGAAAGGAUAAGGAAAACAAACGUUCUUCAAGCAAUAGUAAGCAAAGCAAUGAAAUUGAGACUUAGAAUUCACUUAGAGUGCAGAAAUUAACUUUAAAACACAAGGGAAAGAUUUAAACAACUCCUUAGGGCCGAAUUCAUUGUUUUGGACCCUUACUUCAACAAACAAUACUUUGGAACUCUUUUUCUCAACUUUUCUUCAUUUUUUUUUUUCUUUUUCCACAAUUUUUUUUCUUUUCUUUUCUUUGCCGUGCCUAUGGCACACACUUCCUCAUGAAAAACACUUCCCCCACACUUAUUUUCUGCCAACAUAAAUCAAAAGGGAAUUCAAUUUGAAUCAUGCUUUACUAUGCUUUAAGAACAAGGUAUGGAUGGUCCUAAUCUAGGCUAGGUGAGGAGAACAUGGGUUAACAAUUAACGAAGGCUAACAAGGCUCAAUGGGGUUAAAAACCUACAAAACAUAAUGACAUAGGGGAUUCAUGGCUUUUUGGCUAGGGUGGUGGUCACUACACAACUUCAUCUUGAAUAUGUGUUAUGCAAAUCAAUAACAUGCUUGAAUGAAUGAAAUGGGCAUGAGUUCUAGCAUUUGGAACUAAAUGAUGAAACGCCUUCUAAGUAGCAACCAAGCAAAGAAUAAUGAGAUCAUGCAACGACUUAGAAAACAAAGAAUGCACAGAUUUUCACUCUCCAAAUAAACGUUAGGCUCAAGUCUCACAAGGUUGUAGCGUUAGUUUAAGUUCCUUCCUUCAAACAUGUUACAAAAACUGAUUUUUUUUCUUUUAUGAUUGCAUGUGAAUUCAUAAGUUAUAACCACAACUAAGCAUAAACAAAGAGUAAAUCAAACUUUCAUCCAUGUUAGUCACUUUCUUUAACAGCCAUGUAAUUACAAAAACCGAAUCCUCAUCAUUGUGUUGGAAGGUACCCUAAAACACAAACAAACACACAAAAACAACUCUUUUUGGGUUUUUAAAACAAAUUUUUCAAAUUUUAUGUAAUUUUCGGAUUUUUACUUCAAAACACACUAAAACACAUCAAAAUUGCUCAAAAACACUUAAAAACAGCAAGGAACAAGUCUUCAAGUUUAGGGUGAUAAAAUCCCACGAAUUUGCAUCUAAAACACUUAGUUACCCCCCCACACUUAAAUCAAACAUUGUCCUCAAUGUUUCAAGCAUGAAAUCACACUAAACAAAAAGAAACACACAAACAGCAACUAAAACAACUAAAUAGGCAGAUUCAAACUAAAUAACAAAGGGAAGAGUUUAGGAACGCAAAUCUGGAAUUGGAGUGAUUCCAUGGGUUUCCUUUGUUGAAUUGCAUGGGCUGCCUCCCAAGUAGCGCUUUCUUUUACGUCUUGCAGCCGGACGAAGCUCCUUUGAAGGUUAUUGAACCCCACGGCAUGGAGGGGUGUUUCCUCUACACCUUGUCCUUCGAACCACUUCAUGCAUUGGGUCCUUGAAUGGAAUGGGAUAAUGAUCCUUUCGUAGUGUCGUGUUGUGCUUCUCUAAAUCAACACGAACUCUCCCACCAUAUUGACUUUGAUUAGGUACCUGCACCGUACAAGGUAACAACCGAUUAAUUGAAAUGGGAAUUGAAAUUGGAUCAGGUGGCUUACCUAGGUGCGGCAUAGGAGUGGGAGUACAAUGGACAGAUGCACAAAGGUUGCACUCGGCCAAAUUUGGUGAUUUCAAGGUUGAGGCCGUGCAUUCUUUGUUGCUCACUCCAAUUCCCUCCGCGAUGGUAGUUCGAGGUGCAUUCUUCUUGACUAGUGUUGAACAUGCCUGCCCUAUAUUUUCAAUUACAUUAAUGGCACAACAAGAACGAACAUCAUUAGUAUUCUCAAUUGAUUCAGGAAUCUUAAAGUUAAUCAUAUCACCACCAAAGGCCAUAGUUACGGCUCCCUUGGCCACAUCAAUCUUGGUUUGAGCCGUUUUCAUGAAUGGUCGUCCAAGCAAGAGUGGUGAUGGUGGAGAGUGGGUUGAGUCCUCCAUAUCAAGCACAUAGAAAUCUGCAGGAAAAAUCAAAUGGUGGUCUACCUGCACCAAAACAUCUUCCAACACUCCCUUGGGAUAUGCAUUAGAUCGAUCGGCUAAUUGAAUUAUAACGCCAUCAUUUUUAAGUUUUCCUAGAUUCAUAGAUACAUAAACAGAAUAUGGCAUGACAUUAAUUGAUGCACCUAGAUCUAGCAUAGCAUGUUCAAAUCUUGUAUUACCAAUUACACAAGGGAUUGUGAAACUACCUGGAUCUUUGCAUUUAGGUGGUAGCUUCCUUUGCAACAUUGCAGAGACAUUCUCGCUUACAUGUACCACCUCCUUCUCCCGAAUCCGCUUCCUCGUUGUACAAAGCUUCUUCAAGAACUUGGCAUACUUCGGGAUUUGCUUGAUUGCAUCCAAAAGAGGUAUGUUAACUUGAACUUUCCUAAAUGUCUCUAGAACAUCUUUUUCCUCCUCUUCAUUCUUGGAUUGCAAAAAUCUGCUAGGAAAGGGCACAUUGGGUGGAAUAAUGUUAGAAUUAACCGAACUUGGACCUUUCUUACCUAGGGUGGACGGAUUGGAGGACUUAGGAUCAAUGGUUGCUUGCGGCAAAGGUUGCUCCACCUUUGCCGUGGGUUGCUUUGGGUUCUCCUCCCCAGAUUUCAACGUUUCAUCUUCUUUGGGACCUGAUUUUGGUGGUGUAGGACCUGCCCCAACUUCUUUUCCACUCCUUAGCAUGAUUGCAUUUGCGGUUUCAAAGCCUCCCUUUGGAUUUGGAAUGGUGGAACUAGGGAGUUGUCCAGGAUCUCGAAACUUACCUACAAACUCGGCAAUCUGCCCAAUUUGUUUUUCAAGUUGAUCCACCCUUCUGUCUUGGUUUUGCAUAGCUUUAGCUUGAUCUUCCUGCCCAUUAGACAACUUAGUUAGUAUCUUAAGAAGUGCAUCAUUGUCAAGAGACGUACCUGAGGCACUUGGGCCGGAUUGGGCUUGAUUUUGGGGUGGACCGUAGGUUUUGGGAAAGAACCCCGAGGGUUGUUGCCUAAAGCCUCCUUGGUUCUGAGGUUGCUGGGGCUCCCUCCAUUUGAAGUUUGGAUGGUCUCGCCACCCCGGAUUAUACGUGUUUGAAUAUGGAUCGUUCCUUGGUUGGUUUUGCCCUUGAAACCCAAUUGCAUGGGCGCUUUCCCAUCCACCAUUUUCAAUCAACUGUGGACAUUUUUCAGAGACAUGUCCUUGGAUGGAACAUACGCCACAUACAAUUGGUCCUUGCAUCUUCAUGCCCUCGGCCAUCUGAGACACAAGAGAAGUAAGAUUAGCCAAUUGUGAGUGAAGAUCGGAAGUUGUACUUACCUCAUGUACUUGGUGCCGUGGGGGUCCUCUUUGGCCUACACCCUCGUACUGUUGAGCGUUCAAUGCUCUAUUAGCAAUCAAGACCUUGGCAGCCAUGGGUGUCUUGUCCACCAAUGCUCCCCCCGCCGAAGCAUCAAGCAUUUGACGUUCUAGAGGUAGGAGACCCUCGUAGAAGUAUUGCAACAGUAACUCCUCCUUCAUCUGAUGCUGCGGACAAGAAGCAACAAGUGAUUUAAAUCGUUCAUAAUAUGUAGGAAAAGACUCACCUUCUUCUUGCUGAAUUCCGCUUAUCUUUUUGCGGAGGAGGAUGAUGCGAGAAGUUGGAAAGAACUUCUCCAAGAACGCUCUCUUCAUACUUUCCCACGAUUGUGACAGUUCCGGGAGCUAACUCAUAUAACCAAUCCUUGGCUUUAUCCAUCAAAGAGAAUGGAAAAGCCUUCAUCUUCAAAAUAUUUCCGUCAACAUUGACGGGAGUCAUACUAGAGCAAACUACUUCAAAUUCUUUUCAAAUGUUUGUUAGGAUCUUCCAUGGACAAGCCAUGGUAUUUAGGAAUAUGAUGAAGUAAACUUGACUUUAAUUCAAAACUCAUCUGUCUUACCUUGGGCAGCCACGGGGUAUUGGAUGCACAAGGGUGCGGCAUUAUCCAAACCCGAGGCGGAAAGCUCCUUGAGUGUACGAUUGUCCAUGGCCAUGCCUUGGACUUCUUCAAAUAUCCCUGCCGUGGCUUCCUCCUCCUCUUCUUGUACGUUUUCUUCAAGGUCAGAUUCGGAACUGGGUGGAUGGUGUUCUUGCUGGUUUCUAGCUCUUCUUAACUUCCUCUCAAAAUCGUCGUCAAACUCCAAGAUGUUCGCACGAAUCGUUUGAGAGCUUCUAGUCAUACAUUAGUACCUAAGAAACAAGAAACAAAAUUAGGUCAGAACUUAAACAAAAUCAGAAACAAAGUGAAAUAAAAGAAACAAAAACAAUCCAAGGGAUUAGCAAAAUUUGCUAAUCCCCGGCAACGGCGCCAAAAAUUUGAUGCGAAAUAUAUUAAGCACACAAAUUAAACCCUCUUUUUGUCAAAUUGUAGCAAAGAUGUAAGUAGGGAUCGUUCUAAACCGGGGAUUAGGAGGGAUUGCUAAACACUUGGAAACUGACUUAAAAACUCAAAAACAACGUUUAAACCACUAAACUAGACCCAAAGAAUGCAAAAGUAAAGGUUAAAACACUUAAACAAACCUAAAACUCAAAACAGCAACUAGAAGGCUCAAAACUGCCUAAAAACCACUUUCUGGGCAGUUUUGAGCACCUACACUAAUUUGGACGAAAUUUGAUGAAAACUUGAAUCAAAAUACUUAGAAACACAAAUCAAAACACUUUCUAACUAAUCUAGGACUUCAAAUUAAAGGGGGAUUUGUUUUGGACGAAAAUUUAACACAAAACAGAAACUUGAAACUAAACAGAUUGUAAAAACGAUUUUGGUGAAAUAGAUGGAUAAAAGGCUAGUUAGGAGGUUCUUCUCCACACAUGUCACACUUGCAAACAAAACGAUUUUCAGUUGUUCUUCCAAUAAACUAUGAAUACUCAACGCCCCAAGUUAACCGUGAAUUGCACUAAUUAACCCUCAGUUUCUCCAGAAUUUAUCAAGUUGGAUGAUUGCAUACGACAACUCAAAACAUUCCCUACAAGUUCCCUACAUGAAUUGCAUAAUAGAGAUACAAGCAAGAAUCAUUACGUUCUAUGAAAAACAUAAGCAUUGACGAAGCAUUUGUUACUAUGAAUUGCAUGAAACUUAUGCUAAGAAUUCAUUCAACGCGAUCGUUUUCAAGCGAUCUUCACUACUUGUGAUUAUAAGAUUGUAACUAUUAGGUGAAACUCCCUCAUAAUCUAGCAUCAUAUUCAUGCAUGAAAGUUAAGCGUGCACUCUCAAUCAACAUACACAAAUAAGUUAUCAAUCAAAUAGAUGAACGAAUUGAAUCCAUAACUCAUGAAAUAACAACUGAAUGUAAUCGAAUCAAAUUGCAAGCAUGUACAUGGUUUCGAAUCACCCCCCAACUAAGGGGGUUUAGUUCCUCAUACUCACAACACAAAGUUUAUUGAAUUGAAACAUCAAAGACAUAAGAAAGAUUACACCUAAAAUGCCAAAGAAGUCCACUUUGAAAUCUGCACAGAAAGCUCCUCUUUCUUCUUCUCCUUGUUGCGGCAGAGUUGGUUUAGAGGCUGUUUGGAUGGUUUUCUGAUGUAGGAAGGGAAUUAGGAUGGUAUGGGGUGCGGCAAGGUGUGUGGGUGGUGUAUGGAGGUGUAUAAUGGUGGCUGGAAUGAAGGAGAGUUGCGGCAAGGUGUAUGGAUGUGGCUGGAAUGAAUGGUGGCUGCGGCAAGGUGGGGGAAGGGAUUUUUUGCGAUUUCUGAUUUUUAGAAUGGGGUCUCUCUGCGGCUAGGGUGUAGAAAUAUAUAUAUAGGCACUUAAAAACCCUAGCAAUUCAGAUUAGAACAAUGGGCUAGGGUUAAGGUUUGUAAAAUAG